UACCGAUUUGUGUGUAAAAGUAUAAUGCUAUAUUAGGGUUUAUUAUGGUGUUAAAAGUCCGAGAUUUAGCUUAUAUUCUUUUUUCCACAGAUUGGAUGAUAUUUUUCGUCCACAAACAAGAACACGGUACAAAAGCACGAUAUCAGCAGAUAUUUUUACAUAAUUACCAAAAAAUGUGUAAUAGAAGUUGAUUUUGAUGAUACAUAUUUCAUUUCAUGUUAUUUUCUUUCAAAAAGGUUAGAGGGUGGAUAAAGGUUAAAUCUACUUUUUUCUUCUAUAAAUCCCACACUAUUCAAAUUUAGCCUGCUUGCUUGAAAACUUGUUUAAUCGCUUGGAUGAGACGGCCCAUGAUGAACCAAUACAAGUAACGUGUGUUCAUUUUCCAUUUCAUUUCCCUAAGUACUAUUACUGCUGUACCGUACAUCCGCCUUGGCCGUACAGCAGUGAUCAUCAUCCGGCUUGUUCCGAACUCAUUCCAAUCUGAAUUCAAUUUGAAAUAUUCACCCAAUCGAGUUCGAACUAAUGUAAACUUUUCCUUCAAUCCAAAUUCGAUCCCAACAUGCGAUUCGAAUUACAUUCAGAUGGCAUUUUUUUUAAAUCUGAAAUUUGAUUGAAUUGAACCGAAUCUAUAUUUAAGCAUGAAAAAGUUUUGAUGACCAAGUGGCAUGGCAAAAGGUGCAUCAAUAUUAAACACCAUUAAAUCUUCUAAAGAUUUCGCAUUAGCUAAUACUCCCGCAUCCCCUUUAACAAGACCAUCUGUAUUGUAAAUAUUAGUGAGGAGUAUUUGACUUGGCAUGUACUUCAUAAAAUAAAAAUGCAAUAAUGUAAGUCACAUGUAUAUAUCUGAUUGUAAAUAUCAGUGCAAUGACCUGCUGUCAUAGCAGUUGUAUAUAUCUCUGUGUAAUACAGUAACCUGAUGCUUAAUCAGUUUAAAAAAAAAAAAAAACAAGACCAUUUGCAUUAACUUUUAAUCCAUUAAGCUGCAGAGAAUACCAAGAGACAAUAUAGAUACUUGGAGUAUAACUUGAAGAUCGAGGGGGAUGUAACUCAGAAUAUUGACCAUUUAAUGGGGAAAGUAACACCAAAACAAAAUACUUAUCCAGCGCCUUAGCCUGCGUAAAAGCACAAUUGACAAAUAAAUGAGCAGAAAUUUCAAGACCUCGAAAGCCUUAAGGAGCAACAUGAGACAAUUGGAAUCCCACAGCCACAGGCCACGGGCCAGAAGAAUAUCGUUACUUAUUUUCGAAAUUUCAUAAUAACCUAAAAAACAAAAAAAGAGUGCAUGUGUAUUUACAUCCAAUCAAGUUGCACGCAGAGCAUAAUGCCCAAUUAUUUUAAUUUUAUAUUUAUAUAAUUAAUUAUUAGUAUGACAUCAAAAUAGAAAUGUUUCAAUUCAAUACUUGAACUUAAUUAAAAUAUGAAAAAAAUAUAUUAAAUAAUAUAAUGCCAUUAUAUUAAGGGCAAAUGCUAAGUUACAAUAAUUGUAACAUACAUUCUUCAUGUGAACCACACAAAUUGUGGGUCCUACAAUUUUGUGUGGUUCACAUGAGGGAUGUAUGUUACAAUUAUUGUAACUUAGAGGCUCCCUUAUAUUAAAUUUUAAAAAAGUCCAAAAACUUAGAAUAGAUCAAUAUUCGACAUUAGAAUAGAGGAAACUUAGAUAAUAUAUUUGUCACAUCAAAGUUGGGGGAUACUCAAUAAUUAAUUGAUUUUUUUUUCAAAAAGAAUAAUAUAAUUGAUUUUAAUUUGUGAUUUCCCUUGCCAUGCUGUAACUUGUUGACCAUUAGUGGAUGUCUUAAACGACCGUUAGGUUCCGAGCACAACAUCGCGACAGAUACUCCCGCCAAUUUUCAACUGGAUGUAUGGAAGCCAUUUCCUGUCUACGUGGCAAAAUCUUGCUACUAUGAUUAUCCUCUGCAUACUGUGUACCACUCAGCAUUGUAGUAGACUGUUCCUUCUCCAGCUAAAAAGUUUAAAAUUUUCAAAAGAAAGGAUUAUUGGACUUCAUCAUUGCAUUUAUAAUCUCUUUCCCACCGUCCUAUUACUAGUUUUCAAUCAUGCCCGUUGGUUUUACUUUUCACUUUAUGAUUUCGACACUUGGCAAAAAGAUGAAUGGCCUUCUAUUUCUCAUGUCUCAUUAAUAAUAAAAUAAAAUAAAAUAAAUAUAAAGUUGCUGCCACCAUUGGUCGUCAUCAUAUCUCACAUAUAAAGGGUAUGCUUGGGACAACUAAGCUGCCUCAAUAUAAUUGCUCUCCAUUCUAUAUUUUGGAGAAUAUUUAUUAAAAUAAAACAUGGGGAGGAGCUGCGCUAUACCCCAAACGCUCGCAAAAUUAAGGGUGCCAUGGCAAGGACACAUAAAAUAAUUAGUAAUAUGACAAUAAGAUAUUUUUAAACUAAAGAAAGAUAUUUUUUUAAUGAAAGGGUGAUACUUUGGUUCCUUAUCACCAUUUUCACUCAAAAUAAAAUUCAAAGUUACAAGAGAAUCCUGGUCACACUGGAGUAAUUACCCAAUUUUCGUUUCAUCUGAAACAAGAUAAUAUUAGUUUAAGAAAUUUUACAAUACGAUUUUUAAUAACUAAAAUAUAAUUAAACUCACAUUUUUCCUUAAAAUUACGAAUAUACCCCCAACCAUCCCGCUGAAACCAUGAACAACAAUUCCAACGAAACGACUAGGAGGGCAACGUAAUUUCCCAUUUAAAGAAGAGUGGGCGAUCCAAUCAAAAGACAAGGAGUGGACAAAGCAAAAAUGCCAACUGUCAAAACAUUAAAACGCAGAAUAAGUGAAUAAGGUGUCUUAUUUUCGUCCUAACCAUUCGAUUUUGAACUUCCAGACCCGUCUUUCAUUAAAAACCAAAAACGAAAAAGAAAAAAAUAAAAUUCCAAAAACGAAAAUAACGAGAAAGCUAAAAAAAAAAACCAAAAUCAAGCAUCAGCUACCAAAAACACCUGUAAGUUCAUCAGUUUCUUUUUUCAAUUAUUAUUUAUCCUAAUCUGUUAAUCAGUCGUGUGAGCACGAUCUGAGCUUAGCUUAUUACAGGAUUCCCUUUUAGACUAUAAUUUGAUAUACUAUAAUUUAUUUAUUUAUUUAUUUAUUGUUCUUUUGAGUUGAUUGGAUUUUAAUUUGUUGCUUGUGAAAUGAAUUUCGUUCGCUCGGGGAAAUGAAGAUAAAAAUUUUAAUUUACAAUCGAAUUUCAGAUUAGGUCGUCUUGUUUUGGAAAUUGGAAGUCCAUAUAUAUACAUAUAAAAUUAAUUUUUUUUAAUGAAAGAGUAUUUGUAUAUGUGUCUCAGAUCGUGAUUAAUAAAUAAUCUGAACUUGAAUGAAUUAAUUAGGGCAAUUUUAUAUAAUGUGUUUAUGUUGAAGGUGGGACAGCAAGUUGAUGAAAUACAAGAGACGCAAUUUAACUGUCAUCAACAGAUAUAUAUAUAUAUUAGCAGCUGUAAAGGAUGGCCUGUAGAGGGUGCCUGGAGUGUUUAUUGAAGCUUCUGAACUUUCUGUUGACCAUUGUGGGACUGGCAAUGGUUGGUUAUGGGAUUUACUUGUUUGUUGAAUACAAAAGAGCAGACAAUUCGGGUACAGUUUCACCCGUGAGUGGUGAUGAGGGCUUCGUUCAGCUUGGUCGGCCCAUGCUUAUGGCUGUGUCUUUAGCGGACAGUAUUUUUGACAAGUUGCCAAAAGCUUGGUAUGAAUGCUUCUUCUAAUUUUGCCUUCAUUUUAAAGCCCUUUCUGAGUAUAUUGGAUGUUAUAAUUUCAUCUUGAUUUGUAGUGUAAUAGAAUAUUUUUCAGAGACUGUGAUAAACAAUGUCUUGCUUUUGAGAUUUCAAGCAGCGGCCAUUUCUCAGUCCAUUUACUUCAUGGUUAUUUUAAAUUGCUCUAACAAAUGUAGAGUUCUUGCACAUUUUCCUUUCUUUCUUACAUGAUUUGGAAAUUUUGUGGUAAUCGAUAAUAUGUACAAGGAACGUAGCCUUUACUAUGAUUACAGAAUUGAAAUAUCUCUCCCAAUGGGGAGAAGGGGAGGGGAAAAAAAGGCUUUUCUAUCUUUCACAGAGAGGGCAACUGACUAAUAAUAAGUUAGAGUGGUUGAUGAUAUGAAUUUAAUUUUUUCAUGAAAUGUUUUCUUUGAGGUUCGCAAGAGUUGCCUCGCGAUAAAACAGCUUAUUACUUGAAUACAAGUUUACAAUAAACACUUGAUAACCAUAUCAUGAUUGUUAUUGGAUUUAUUUUUUUUAUCUAUUUACCACUAGCAAAAGACAUAGACAUUGAGCCUGGACGAACACCUAAUUAGAAUAUAGAUUAUAUACUCCUUGCUUUCAGUACAUCAAGGUCAAGUUAACUGAUGCAUUUGUUGGCUGCUAAAAAGUUAGCAGAGCAAAAAAUGACAUAAUGUUGUGCUACAUUUGUUAUUAUGUCUGCAGUUUUAACCUUUCUAUUGAAUAAGUCAAGGAAAAGUGUUAUAUUGUUAAAAUUUAGAGUUUGAAUUCUACAUCCAGUCUUUCUUGUCCUAUGGUGAUUCUGAGACUUAUAUGUAUUCGUUAUUAUUAAUUUAUGAAUUCUGAUGAGUACUUGAUUGCACAACUUGAUUUUUUUUUUUUUUUGUUUCAUAUGUCUUUUCAGGUUCAUAUACUUAUUUAUUGGUGUGGGAGUUGUUCUCUUUGUCAUCUCUUGUGUUGGUUGUAUCGGUGCUACAACACGGAAUGGAUGUUGCCUGACUUGUGUAUCCUUAGUACUUUAAUAAUCCUUUUUAAUUGUAAUUAUAGGGAUUUUGAUUUCCAUCAUUCAUCUGUUUCACAUGGCAAUGACAAUAUUAUAUUGAUAUCACGCACUGCAGUCUUUCAUCAUUUUAAUAAGAGUAGUGCCAUAUAUUCCAAAAGUUAUUGCCGAAGUGAAUCCCAAUUGGUGUGAUUGGUUGAUUUGUGCAAUAAGGUACAUUGAAAAUUGUGAAUCCACAUGAUGAAUGCUGCAGCACAUGCCAUCUUAUUUGGAUGCAUUUUUCCAGAUAAAUUUUAAACAUGUACUAGUAAUCUUUUAAUUAUUCUAAUGGCUAAUUGUUUCUAAAUGUCUUAUGUUGCUUAUUCCCCUCUUUUUCCUUGGUUAUUAAUGAUUUCCUUAAGCCCACAUAGUAUUCAGUGCUGGUGAUCUUGUUGAUCUUGGUUGAGUUGGGAUGUGCAGCCUUCUUUUACUUUGACAAAUCCUGGAGAGAAGUGAGUAGUCUUUUGACUGGAUUUUUGAAUCAUAACGGUAUUCAUUGUUAUCUGAACUGUACAAUAUAUGUUUUCUUUUGUUUUCUCCAGGAGAUUCCAGCUGACAGAACUGGUGAUUUUAACAUGAUAUAUGAUUUUCUGAGAGAAAACUGGAAUAUUGUGAAGUGGGUCGCUCUGGGAGUUGUUAUUUUGCAGGUAAGAUAAACAUCGAGUCAUUUGCUUUAUGAGAGGAUAUAAGAAAAAGAUACUCUCUCACUUGCACCCAUCCUGAAUAUUGACAAGCAUUCUGAUGUAGUGAGACAUUGUUCAUUUUUUAAAAUGUAUCUGCAGAACAGGUUUAGGAUGGGUCGGGUAGAUCUUACAUUUAGAUUUGCCUUGGUUGUAGAGAAAUAAAAUAAACCUCUAAUAUGUGCAUUUUCUUUUUCAUUUGUGCUUUAUAGAUAGUCUUUAUUAUUCUUUUGAAAGUGAGAUGUGAUUUUUUUCACAUAAUUGGGCCUAGAAUAUUUGGCAAUUCUUGCGUUCAACCCACUGUGUUGGAACCACUUAUCUUAUUUAUCAUUAAUAGGAUAAGGGUUUACCAUUCUUGAUUGUUUAAUUUUCUGUUAUAAGGCCGAUUUAGGACAUCCUAAAGGUGCGCAUACCAUACAUAUUCUAGACGUAGGCAAAAUUUGCUCAGAUCAUUUUUGUAGCUGUGUUAGGAUUUUCUGGGACUUAUUAUAAUACUAAUAUAUCUUCACGAGAUAUUUUAUUAUAAGAAAGUUAUUUUUGCUUUAUUAUUAUGACAAUGCCUUUUCUUAUUGAUUAAGGUUUUAUUAUUAUAAUAUUACUGUUUGGAUUAAUAUGUAUAUACAAGAGCCCUUAAGGCAUGAAUGAAUUUAUUUUAAAUAUUCCUUCUCUCAAUGAAUUCUUUCUAGUUCUUCAUUUCUUGUCUUAUAUACUUUGUAAAUAUCCCUCGUUUCUUUCUAAAGUUCUUUAUUUCUAAUAAGCUUCAAAUCCUACAAAAAUUUUGAUGCAUGGAAACAUACAACCAUAUUUGAUACUUUUAUUCCAUGUAAAGAAAAAAAAAGUGUGAGCCAGUGAAUGAUGGAGGUAGAAUAUGAAUGUCAUAGCCAUAUCACCGAUUAUUAGGUUUUAGCUUAAGCCAGAACCUCAUCCUCAUCUAUUUACUGUAGCUUAGGUGGCUAAGAUGUCCUUACACUUCAGUCACUGAGAGAUGUCUUGUUUCUCUCAAAUUCGGUUCUUACUCUAAGGAUAUCUAUCGUGAUAGUGUUCCUAUGGACGUCACUCAUAUUCUGUUAGUCAGGUCAUGGAUUUUGAUCACAAUUUUAAGAAUUUUGGAUGAGAUAACAUGUGUGUUCUCCUGUACUUGUAAAACCAUUGCCCUAAAGCCUGCUACACCUGAUGACACAGGGAGUUAAUCACCGAAGUUCAAAUAAUGGUGGAGGUGAGUACUUUUUAUUAGGUGAUUUUGAGGGGUGUUUUAUGGGUAUACACUUUGGAGACAGUGAUAGAACUAAUUAGUAUGGUUAAAAUUGUGGUGGCAGUUUGAGUCACGGCCAGUGGCUGGAUGGUGGUAGUGGUGUUUAAAAAAGGAUAUAAAAGAGAAGAAAUGGAGGGAAAACUAGAGAGAAUUCAUAGAAGGAAAUAUUCAAAUUCAACUCGUUCGUGUUGUGAUUUAUAUUAAGCACUCGGUCCCUGUAUAGAGGGGAAAAAGGAAACAUACCUAAGUAGAAAAAAGGGAUAUAAAAAUAUUAAACCAAAAGGCAAUAUUAUUAUAAUUAAACCUUAACCAUUAAGAAAACGAAUUAUAAUAUCAAACCAAUAAGUAAUGUUAUUAUAAUAAAUUCUCCCAUAAAAAUACAUUAUUAUAAUCAUACAAGUCACAAAAAAUCUUGAUAUAACCAGGGAAAAAAAAAAAUUCUAGCAAUAUACUAAGUCCUAUGCCUAUGUCCGGUGUAUGUACGUAGAUCUCUAGGAUGUCAUACAUCAAAAGCUUUUGGAGGGGACGAAAACUAUAGCACUUAUUGGAGCAUUUGGUUGAGUAUAAUCCAAGAUCCAGAGGAAUCUGUGUAGUUUUGGUUUCAUAUGUCUUCAACUUCUGGAUUUACUUGUUUUUAGGCAUUCUUUUCCUACUUAAAUUCUGCUACUGUCUUCCGUAGUGUGAUCCAUAGCACCCCAUCAUUUUGGUGUUCUUUGAAUAUGGUUAUUUUUUAUGUGGAUGUAGCUAUUUUUUAUGUAUGUAUGUACUUCUUUCCUUACCAAUUGAAGUAUUGCUUCGUGGCGAAUCUGUUUAUGGGAAAUUGUAAUUCUACGUCUUAUGUUUCAGCUUUUCCCAUACUUCAUAAGACCAAUGAUAUAGGUCAGAAAUAGUUGGAAAUUUUCUGUUGAAGUUAUUGAAAGGGAAAAUCGGUAGGCUUUUGAAAAUUAGAUGCUGCUAUUAUCUAACAUAAUAGUCCUGCACUCCUGUGAACUUGUAAAAUCAGGCUGCAACUUGGCUGAGUUUUAUGAGCUCAAAGUAUCUGUUUCACCUCUUUGCCCAAGACCUUCCUCAUGUUCGAAAUCAAUUGAACUAGUGUUUGCCAAGCUGAGCUCCACUAAUUGAUAUAUAGAGAUUUGGUCAUGGAUUCAGUUGUUUCCUCUUGGGAUGAGAAAAGGGGGAAUUCAUAAAUCUGAUUGAAGAUGAAAUCUACAAUUAAACACUAUUUUAAUUUGUAGCCCAUCAGACUGCAGAAAUGAACCUGAAAAAAACCUGGAUUGUGCUGUGGGAAGAAAGAAAAAAGAAAAGGCUGUCAAUUUGGCUCUCUUUUUUGCACCCUUUCCCCUCUCUUUCUUGGGGUGAUUACAGUAGUGGAGCAUCAUACCUAGUUUGUUUUCUUAUUCAAAUACACAAUUAUGUUCUAUUGACUUUAAGGGCAUGAAGGCAGUAGGAUAUGCAUUCCAAGAUGUAUGUAAAAUGCAAAACAUAAUACUAUGGAUUUGAGUUGAGCUUCUUAGUCCAUUAAUCUAAGUCUGGUCGUAUAUACCACACUGCUUUUUUCUGUAAGUGCAGUGUUGGACUGGACUAGUCAUGGAAUUUUUACCUUCUAAUGCUCCCGUAUGGCAGCUCUUAUUAAAUGAAUGAACCUUGGAAUUUGUAGGCUUUGAUUUUCCUGUUAGCUAUUAUAGUCAGAGCAGCAAACAGACCAGUGGAGUAUGACAGUGAUGAUGAGCUCAUUGCCCCAAGGCAACAGAUUCGGCAGCCUUUGAUCAACAGGCCCACACCUCCUGCCACAGGUGUGCCUGUUGCUGGUUCCCUUGAUCAGCGUCCUAGCAGAAAUGAUGCUUGGAGUACCCGUAUGAGAGAAAAGGUGUGUGUCCUUUUCUUUUCUUUUUUAAUUUUUUAAUCUAGCAAUUUUUUUUUAAUAGUAUAGUAAAACCUCUGUAUAGUGAUACACUAUAUAGGAAUAACCUAUAUAUAAUCAUAAAAAAUAUUGGUCCUAAUUUGGGCCAAUUAUAAAUAAGAAUAAACCGUACAUUGUAAAAAGUUAUAUAUAAUUUUUUUUUAGAUUAUGUCUUAAGGAAUUUGUCUCCGCAAAGUAAUAAUUAUUUUGUAUAUUCCAAAAUGUAUGUGCUAUUUUAUAUUAAAGGUUUAAGAUGAAAGAAAAUUAUUUUUUUGAAGUUGUUUGGGGCAAUGAUUUAUACAAUGUACAAUAGAGAAAAACAUAUCAAAGAGAUAGACUUUUAAGAUGAUUUUGCAUAACACUACAUAGAUACAUAUACCAGUUUUUUGAAACUAUGCCUAUCUCUUUGAUCCAUACGUUGGAUUUGACAUGUUCCUCUAAUUAUUUAUUAAUGUAGUGCAAACUUUGUAUCACUUGCAUUUAGGAUAACUAAGUCAAAACAUUAAUUUUUAUAAGUACACCUCUGUUAAGUUAUAACCUCUUGUUAGUAAUAAAAUUAGUUUGGUCCCAACAAUAUGACAAUAGAGCGUUUUUAUUGUACAUAGAUCAUACAAGUGCUUCAUCUGGCUGUAAUCAUGAAUAACUUUCAAGAAUGAUACUUGAUAUUCAAACUCUACAAAUGAACUAACCUCUGCCAACUGAGGCAGCUUAAAAUUAGUGAAUUGAAAACACAAAGGUGAAUGAAACAAGUGAGAAUAGAUGAUGGGUUGAUAAUAUAAUAAUGCCACAUCAAUUCAUAUGAAAAGAGAUUUGUUGGAGUGUUUGUAGUUGUAGAAUUAUUCAACUGGGGGAUUGUAGCUUAUCUAGGCGUUAUAUUAAAAUAUAGAGUGCACAUGAUAGGUGGAUAUUCAGGUUGCUAUUUAUCAUUAAAAUGAGUGUUAUGGCCAAGUUCUGUUUCUGACACUGUAAUGUUGUUCUUGAAUUGACAUAAACCAGUACGGGCUUGAUACGUCUGAGUUCACGUACAACCCGUCUGAGUCACACAGGUUCCAACAGGUGGCUACACAGCCAGCAGAAGAAAGGAGCCGCUGCACCAUCAUGUAAUGAGUUUCUGGAUGUCCCUCAGAAUCUAAACUGAAUUGCUUUCUUCGAGUAUUGCAGAAGACGGUCUUUUCGUUUUGUUGAGUUUGUGUAGAAAACACAUUGUUCAGGAGUUAUAACCAUUCCCCCACCUGUCUUGUUCCAUUUUUCUUCGACAAAACAAAUCUUGAUCAAAUGGACUACCGAUUUGUGUGUAAAAGUAUAAUGCUAUAUUAGGGUUUAUUAUGGUGUUAAAAGUCCGAGAUUUAGCUUAUAUUCUUUUUUCCACAGAUUGGAUGAUAUUUUUCGUCCACAAACAAGAACACGGUACAAAAGCACGAUAUCAG
rnacentral:lncRNA from 1 species